GCCGGGCGCGGUGGCGCGCGCCUGUAGUCCCAGCUACUCGGGAGGCUGAGGCUGGAGGAUCGCUUGAGCCCAGGAGUUCUGGGCUGUAGUGCGCUAUGCCGAUCGGGUGUCCGCACUAAGUUCGGCAUCAAUAUGGUGACCUCCCGGGAGCGGGGGGCCACCAGGUUGCCUAAGGAGGGGUGAACCGGCCCAGGUCGGAGACGGAGCAGGUCAAAGCUCCCGUGCUGAUCAGUAGUGGGAUCGCGCCUGUGAAUAGCCACUGCACUCCAGCCUGGGCAACAUAGCGAGACCCCGUCUCUU
rfam:Myotis davidii contig219849, whole genome shotgun sequence.